ACUGUGAUUGAGUUAUACAAAGAACUUCAGGUAUAAAGAGGACUGGUCCACUAGACCAAUUGCACUGCACCACUGGACCAACAUGGCGGUAAUGGCGGAUUGUUGCUACUAGAUGUGCUAGUGCUACACGAAUUUUCUCAAUACUGGCAUGUUUAUAUAUUUUAAACAUCGAUAGAAGAUGUGCUACAUUACUAGAGAAAUGGAAGAAAAGCUCUGCCAAGUUUUUCUAAUCUAGAGAAAUCAGUGAAGCCAAAGAAUAUGAACACAGCACGCUUCCUCAUUUUAGUCGAAGAAAUUCGAAUAUGAAGUGGCACACUGUUCUACAUUGGCAAACAGCAAGGGAAAUCAAUGGGUAAAAAAAUUGAUCACAUUCUAAGUGAUAUCCAUGGUAGCGAAAAGUUUGGUGGUCCCAUGGGGGGAAAACAAACACAGGCAAAUGUCAGCAUGCAUUUCUAUUGGAGGAAUAUGACAAAGAGUUUGUAAAUAUGUUUAAAAUAGUAAUCAAACUAAAACAUUGUGAUGCUAUGUUAUGUGUUGUUUAACAUAGAUUUCCAGCUGCCCCCAAUGCCAAAAAGUGGUGAAAAUCAAAAUAAUGGUUCCAGAACUUCAGCCUAUUUAUGGCCUUGGGAAAACUAUGGAAAAAUGGGCUAUAAGUAUGUCUUGUCUGGAACGUGCUUGUUUUCAAGCACAACCGAAGAAAGAUGACAGUGACAUCCAUGUAGAGAGUGAAAUUGUUCAAAUUGAUGUUGUAAAAAAUGAGGACGAAGAAUCUGAUUUCGAAAGUGAAAAGGAAGCAAUCACCUAAAGAGAUUUGCAAGAAGAUUUAAAGUGAACUCUGCAAACUUUUUGUCGAUGCCUAUUCCUUUUGGCUACCCUGCGAGAAAUUCAAGAGUUCAAAAUGAAUUUGAGGUGUUGCAAAUGCUUGAAAAAAGGAGGAUUUGCUUCAGUUUUCAAGGUACGAAGUAAAUUGGACGGCUGUCUCUAUGCGAUCAAAACAAUUCCUUUGAAUCCGAAAAGUGUGCUGCUUAAUUGCAAAAUUACUCGAGAAGAGAAGUUACUUUUUAGAUUGAAUGAUGAAAUUAUUGUAAGGUAAAAAGUAAUUUACUAUCAAAAAUGAAUCAAAAUUUUAUAACAUAA